CUUCAAUCCCAUGUACAUAGUCGACUACUUCCGGAGAAAUGGCAAGGAUGGAUGGGUGUCGCUAGGCGGCAUCGUGCUCUGCAUCACCGGAACCGAAGCCAUGUUUGCUGAUUUUGGACAAUUCAAUGUUCUUGCUGUCCAACAUACAUUGGACAAGCCGCGUAUCUUACCAAGUUCCCCGAGCAUGUUAAAGAUACCUUGUACGAUGCCAUCCCCGAUUGGGAUCGAAUGCCAGCUGAGUGCAGAGGAACGGGCUCAGAAAAUCCAGCAAACCAGGAAUUGAGAUGAUGAUUUGCAGGUGCCAAAACCAGCCACGAAGGUUGACGUUUCCAAGGCAAAAAAAGCCGCCCAAGAGACCAAGCCAGCCGAUAAAUCUGAGGCGCACUCAAAAUAAAUAUUAUAGUUGCUACCUAUAUCUGCUCUAAUUUCCGAAUGCGAAUAAUUGAUUAAUAUUGACGUUGAUUUCAUUCCGUAUGCAGAAAAAGAAUCCGGAAGGAGCUACCCAUCAGAAAAUGUGAAAAGAGGAGUCUGCAUAGGUGAUCAUCGUGGAAGUGCUGCCUGGAAAAGAUCCCAGUGACGCUAGAUCCACUGCCUGAUGAGUCCUAAGGUACCAUAUUUGAUUGCUGUAUAAAUAUUUGUUUAACCUCACGUUACUUGCUUCACUGCAAAUAGCAUUCUAUGUGUAAGUAAGUGCUCAAGCAGAGUAUAGUCAUAAAGCCAAGUGUGCACACACAUUAUCAUCGUAAAAUUGUUGGGCUCUGCCUCUGAAACAUUAAUCUGGCGCAGCAAGUAGAUAUGAUUCUAGGGUUAUACACAAAUAUAUAUAUA